AUGGGGCCUGCUGCCGAGUCUCUGAUCCUCUCCGGGAGGAACAUGACGCUGGUCGCUCAGAAGCUCCAUCUUCAGCCGGACUGUCAGAGCCACCAGGAGGAGCUAGUGACCACAGCUCAGCGGAUCCUAGUGGCCACCACGAAGCAGCAGCAGAGCGGCACCCCCGCCAGCGCCCCUGGCUGUCCAGCCUGGCUGCGCGCUGAUCUGGACCAGCCUCUGCCGGAGGACGGCAGCGCGGACAGUGGGAACAGAAUCACCCAGAUUACCCGGGAGAUGGCCAAGGAGGUGUUCCUAAUGGCCCAGAGUUUGAGGAGGAGAGGACGCAUCAUGACCAAAGAUCAGCUCAUCACCUCUGCUAGGAAAAUUGCGACUUCUGGACAAAACUUCGCCAAACUUAUCUGCAUCAUUGCUAAGAACUGCACAGAUCAAAGAUGUUCCCAGGAGCUUCUGUGUGCGGUAGAGCAGAUUCAGACAGUGAGCAGCCAGCUCCGCAUCAUCUCCGGUGUAAAGGCCUCCCUGGCCAGAAGCAAGUCCUCUGAAGAGCUCCUGGUAGAAAAUGCACAGCAGCUCCUCUGUGCUGUCUCCAAGACUGUGGGGGCUGCAGAAGCCGCAAGUCUCCGGGGUUUGAGACAAGCUUCCCCAGAUCCAGACGAACUGGAAGUUGCUGCCUUCUGCAUGGAGUGGAGGAGAAAACAGCUAAGGCACAGACUUCAAGAAACCUCAAACCUGGACUGUGAUGAGCUGGGCCUGCGAAAAACAAGCACUAAAGGGUCCCCAACACUUGCAGCCCUGGUUCAAGAAACAUCAUAAAAGCUGAGAAAUAGUCUCCAAGUCAGACUCUCUGUUGCUCUGUACACCAGCCUUGAGACUCUGGCAGUCCAGAGUGGGAAGUGUCCUUUAGGCUGAAUCAACCUGUGGGGACAUAGGGUGACACGCUGGGUUGGGUGGGUGUGGAAGUGGCCAGGGCUGGGCCUUGCACAGAGCUUCCCUCACAACAUUCUCAGUUAGGGGGACGUCCCUGGACCCUGGUGGGACUGAUUUCCUCCUGGGAAGCAGACUUACGUUUGUGGGCUUAGAAGAGACAUCACAUAUAGACUGUGGAGUGAGGGGGAAAACCAUGUAAGUGCCAUUAGCUUAGCCUUUAUUAAGAUGUUGCAAAGUAGGAAGAGUUCCAGAAUGUUCUGUAGGGAGCCAGGAACUGAAAGAUGUGUAGGUAAGAUUGGGAAGGUCAGUCAGAGCUCACCUUGCUCGGGUAAUUAGGCACUAUUCAAAUUCUCAGGGUCUGAGGACACUGAGGUUGUGUUAGUAGGGAAUAGGAUGCAGGGGCUGCGAGUCUGCAGACCCUGAGCUGUGCUUUGGUGAAGCUGCAUUUACCAUUUGGGAUGGAGAGGAACAGUAGGGAGUUAAGGUCUUUCCAGAAUCAGUGGGAAUUUUUCAGUUCUCUGCAUCUUUCACACAACCUACUUGGUAAAGGAACGAGGAAAAGGAGAGUGAGGCAACCAAUGACCUUCACCUCAGGUGCUGAACUGUCGGGGGCCAGGAGCUGAGAACUGAGUCUGGGGGAGGGGCACGCGGCCAGGGACUGGGAACACCGGCUGGGAGCGGGGAUGCCCCAGAGGCGGGGUGGCUUGCUUUUUGGGGGGCACCAUGCAAGUCUCUUGGAUUCUGGUGCAGCCCUCAGGGUGGAGGGGCUGACACUGGAUGAGAUUGAAUUUCCCACAACCCAGGGGGAUUGUGGCUCAGAUUUACAGUAAAUAAAAACAGGGAUUUUUUUCCA
rnacentral:lncRNA from 1 species